rnacentral:rRNA from 1 species
GAUGAACGCUAGCGGCAGGCUUAAUACAUGCAAGUCAAGGGGGUAGCAAUACAACCGGCGCACGGGUGAGUAACGCGUACACAACAUACCAUAUACUGGGGUAUAGCUUUGGGAAACUGAAGGUAAUCCCCCAUAACAUUGCGAGAGGGCAUCUGAUUGCAAUUAAAGUUUCGGCGGUAUAUGAUUGGUGUGCGUUUGAUUAGCUAGUUGGUAGGGUAACGGCCUACCAAGGCGACGAUCAGUAGGGGGUGUGAGAGCAUGGCCCCCCACACGGGUACUGAGACACGGACCCGACUCCUACGGGAGGCAGCAGUAAGGAAUAUUGGUCAAUGGAGGCAACUCUGAACCAGCCAUUCCGCGUGAAGGAUGAAUGCCCUCUGGGUUGUAAACUUCUUUAGUCUGGGAAGAAAAACAUAUAUUCAUAUAUGUCUGACGGUACCAGAAGAAUAAGCACCGGCUAACUCCGUGCCAGCAGCCGCGGU